AAAUUAGCCCUUUCAUUCUUUACACCGCUCAACUUUGGAAGGGAAAAGUGAGAAGCAGCAGCAAGGAAGACGAGGGGUCCAACGCAGAGAAGGCGAGUGGUUCGGACGGCGGGAGGGGUUCGAACGGCGUUGUGGUCUGUGUUACCGGCGUGGACGAUUGAACUCAUUCUUCUCAUUUGCCAAAGAUUGGCAAUGGAUGGAACGUAAUUUGGGGAGCGUUAGAGGAUUACAUUUUAAAUUUUUGGAUAUAUUGUCAUGGGAUUUUGUAGCUUGGAAGUUUUUUAGAAUCAUUAUGUACAUGUUUGAAGUUUCUAAUUGUAAGGAAUUUACUUACGUUUAUGUUUAAUAUGCUACUACUUUUGAUUAAGUUUAUAGUUUGGAUGCUUUGAACUAUGUAUUAAUUUUUUUUUAA